rnacentral:rRNA from 1 species
UACGGGGGGGGCAAGCGUUGUUCGGAAUUACUGGGCGUAAAGGGCUCGUAGGCGGCCAACUAAGUCAGACGUGAAAUCCCUCGGCUUAACCGGGGAACUGCAUCUGAUACUGGAUGGCUUGAGUUCGGGAGAGGGAUGCGGAAUUCCAGGUGUAGCGGUGAAAUGCGUAGAUAUCAAGAGGAACACCUGAGGUGAAGACGGGUUGCUGGGCUGACACUGACGCUGAUGCGCGAAAGCCAGGGGAGCAAACGGG